UAAAUUAUACGCUCAUCUUAAGAGUUUUGAGCGCUCUCUCUCGUCUUACAGCCAUUACACAUAGUGGGGAAGAAAUGUCAUCAAAAUGAUU